rnacentral:rRNA from 1 species
GACGAACGCUGGCGGCGUGCUUAACACAUGCAAGUCGAACGAUGAAGCUAGAGCUUGCUCUGGUGGAUUAGUGGCGAACGGGUGAGUAACACGUGAGUAACCUGCCCCGAACUCUGGGAUAACUGCUGGAAACGGUAGCUAAUACCGGAUAUGACCAAUGAAGGCAUCUUCUGUUGGUGGAAAGAAUUUCGGUUCAGGAUGGACUCGCGGCCUAUCAGCUUGUUGGUGAGGUAACGGCUCAACAAGGCGACGACGGGUAGCCGGCCUGAGAGGGUGAUCGGCCACACUGGGACUGAGACACGGCCCAGACUCCUACGGGAGGCAGCAGUGGGGAAUAUUGCACAAUGGGCGCAAGCCUGAUGCAGCAACGCCGCGUGAGGGACGACGGCCUUCGGGUUGUAAACCUCUUUUAGUAGGGAAGAAGCGAAAGUGACGGUACCUGCAGAAAAAGCACCGGCUAACUACGUGCCAGCCGCCGCAGUAA